rnacentral:rRNA from 1 species
UACGUAGGGCGCAAGCGUUGUCCGGAAUUAUUGGGCGUAAAGAGCUCGUAGGCGGUUUGUCGCGUCUGCUGUGAAAACCCGAGGCUCAACCUCGGGCCUGCAGUGGGUACGGGCAGACUAGAGUGCGGUAGGGGAGACCGGAAUUCCUGGUGUAGCGGUGGAAUGCGCAGAUAUCAGGAGGAACACCGAUGGCGAAGGCAGGUCUCUGGGCCGCAACUGACGCUGAGGAGCGAAAGCAUGGGUAGCGAACAGG